rnacentral:rRNA from 1 species
AUGGCUAUGGAGUUAUUGGAGGUCAGCGAUGCAGCAAUGGCCAAGUAUUUCACUAUGAUGUUAGAUGGAACAGCUCGUACUUGGUUGAAGGGAUUGCCACCCAAUUCCAUCGGCUCAUGGGCAAAGUUGAAGGCCCAGUUCAUCCAGAACUUUAAAGACACGUGUAAGCAGCCUAUGUCGAUUGUGAACCUGACCAAUUGCAAGCAAGAGGAUGGUGAAUCCACAACCCAUUGGGUGCGCCGGGUCAAGGAGAUAAUACAUUCAUCUGAUAAGAUGGAUGCCGGCUCAGCGGUCUUGAUGUUGGAGAAAAAUUGCCAUUUUGAACCUCUGAAGCAGAAGCUGGGGCGGCUCAAGCGUGACUAUAAUGACAUGGGAACAUUGAUGGCGGCUCUCGUCAAGUAUGCUGAUUCUGAUACUACCAAGGACCUGGUGUCUGACGAAGAAAAGGCAACGAAGGGAAAGAAGAACGGCAAUGGCAAGGGUCACCAGCAUAACCCGGCGAAUCAAGGAGGUAAUAAAUGUAAGGCUUAUGAGUUUGUUGCUAACACCAAUGCACAGAGCGAAAAUCAACAGCGCAAGGGCAGACAGCCCCCUCGGUUGGGCGGGUCAGGUCCCACCCUUGAGCAAUUAUUGAAUGAGCCUUGUCCAAAACACGACACCCGGGAGAAGCCAGCCACCCACCUGUGGAAAGAUUGUACGAUCAUGAAGGCGUAUAAAAAUUCAAACACGUUUGAUGGAGGUCACGGCCCAGUUGGCGGCUUAGGUGGAGGCGGUUUCCAAGGCCCGGGUGAAGGAAAUAUGCCCUAG